UACGGAGGGGGCGAGCGUUAUUCGGAAUUAUUGGGCGUAAAGGGCGCGUAGGCGGCUCUUUAAGUCAAAGGUGAAAUCCCUCGGCUCAACUGAGGAACUGCCUUUGAAACUGAGGAGCUUGAGUCCGGGAGGGGGUAGCGGAAUUCCCAGUGUAGCGGUGAAAUGCGUAGAUAUUGGGAGGAACACCAGUGGCGAAGGCGGCUACCCUGGACCGGAACUGACGCUGAUGCGCGAAAGCCAGGGGAGCAAACGGG
rnacentral:rRNA from 1 species